rnacentral:rRNA from 1 species
GAGUUUGAUCCUGGCUCAGGAUGAACGCUAGCUACAGGCUUAACACAUGCAAGUCGAGGGGCAUCAGGAAGAAAGCUUGCUUUCUUUGCUGGCGACCGGCGCACGGGUGAGUAACACGUAUCCAACCUGCCCUUUACUCGGGGAUAGCCUUUCGAAAGAAAGAUUAAUACCCGAUAGCAUAAUGAUUCCGCAUGGUUUCAUUAUUAAAGGAUUCCGGUAAAGGAUGGGGAUGCGUUCCAUUAGGUUGUUGGUGAGGUAACGGCCCACCAAGCCUUCGAUGGAUAGGGGUUCUGAGAGGAAGGUCCCCCACAUUGGAACUGAGACACGGUUCAAACUCCUACGGGAGGCAGCAGUGAGGAAUAUUGGUCAAUGGGCGGUAGCCUGAACCAGCCAAGUAGCGUGAAGGAUGAAGGCUCUAUGGGUCGUAAACUUCUUUUAUAUAAGAAUAAAGUGCAGUAUGUAUACUGUUUUGUAUGUAUUAUAUGAAUAAGGAUCGGCUAACUCCGUGCCAGCAGCCGCGGUAAUACGGAGGAUCCGAGCGUUAUCCGGAUUUAUUGGGUUUAAAGGGAGCGUAGGUGGACUGGUAAGUCAGUUGUGAAAGUUUGCGGCUCAACCGUAAAAUUGCAGUUGAUACUGUCAGUCUUGAGUACAGUAGAGGUGGGCGGAAUUCGUGGUGUAGCGGUGAAAUGCUUAGAUAUCACGAAGAACUCCGAUUGCGAAGGCAGCUCACUGGACUGCAACUGACACUGAUGCUCGAAAGUGUGGGUAUCAAACAGGAUUAGAUACCCUGGUAGUCCACACAGUAAACGAUGAAUACUCGCUGUUUGCGAUAUACAGUAAGCGGCCAAGCGAAAGCAUUAAGUAUUCCACCUGGGGAGUACGCCGGCAACGGUGAAACUCAAAGGAAUUGACGGGGGCCCGCACAAGCGGAGGAACAUGUGGUUUAAUUCGAUGAUACGCGAGGAACCUUACCCGGGCUUAAAUUGCAGUGGAAUGAUGUGGAAACAUGUCAGUGAGCAAUCACCGCUGUGAAGGUGCUGCAUGGUUGUCGUCAGCUCGUGCCGUGAGGUGUCGGCUUAAGUGCCAUAACGAGCGCAACCCUUAUCUUCAGUUACUAACAGGUCAUGCUGAGGACUCUGGAGAGACUGCCGUCGUAAGAUGUGAGGAAGGUGGGGAUGACGUCAAAUCAGCACGGCCCUUACGUCCGGGGCUACACACGUGUUACAAUGGGGGGUACAGAAGGCAGCUAGCGGGUGACCGUAUGCUAAUCCCAAAAGCCUCUCUCAGUUCGGAUCGAAGUCUGCAACCCGACUUCGUGAAGCUGGAUUCGCUAGUAAUCGCGCAUCAGCCACGGCGCGGUGAAUACGUUCCCGGGCCUUGUACACACCGCCCGUCAAGCCAUGGGAGCCGGGGGUACCUGAAGUACGUAACCGCAAGGAUCGUCCUAGGGUAAAACUGGUGACUGGGGCUAAGUCGUAACAAGGUAGCCGUACCGGAAGGUGCGGCUGGAACACC